rnacentral:rRNA from 1 species
UACGAAGGGAGCUAGCGUUGUUCGGAAUCACUGGGCGUAAAGCGCACGUAGGCGGACGUGUCAGUCAGGGGUGAAAUCCCGAGGCUCAACCUCGGAACUGCCUUUGAUACUGGGGAUCUCGAGUCCGGGAGAGGUGAGUGGAACUGCGAGUGUAGAGGUGAAAUUCGUAGAUAUUCGCAAGAACACCAGUGGCGAAGGCGGCUCACUGGCCCGGAACUGACGCUGAGGUGCGAAAGCGUGGGGAGCAAACAGG